AUGGAGUUGGGGCUGAGCUGGAUUUUCCUUCUUGCUAUUUUGGAAGGUGUCCAGUGUGAUGUGCAGCUGGUGGAGUCUGGGGGAGGCUUGGUACAGCCUGGGGGGUCCCUGAGACUCUCCUGUGCAGCCUCUGGAUUCACCUUCAGUAGCUAUCGGAUGAGCUGGAUCCGCCAGGCUCCAGGGAAGGGGCUGGAGUGGGUUUCAUACAUUAGUGGUGAUAGUAGUUACAUAUACUACGCAGACUCCAUGAAGGGCAGAUUCACCAUCUCCAGAGACAACGCCAAGAACUUGCUUUAUCUGCAAAUGAAUAGUCUGAGAGCCGAGGACACGGCUCUGUAUUACUGUGUGAGAGGCACAGUGAGGUGA